CCGGCUCCAGCGAGUGGAUAUGAAUGGAAGUACAUGAGCGUGAACUGUCUGUCAGGCACUGGCGCCCGUUUUAAAAAUUGGCAAUGGAGGAAUCUUAGCGUUGUAAUGGUCUCUUGAUCGAGAAUAAUUCCGCGAUCGAUCAUCGAUCGCCAUCAUGCAUAUUCUUUGGUGAUUGGGACCCAAGCGGCAGCAGAAGCAGUUGGAAUGCAUAGCCGGCUGGUGAUACAUGGAGAGCUACACUCCACCUACUUAUUGGUGCUACUAGUAUUAUCUCUCCAUUUGUGCCCACGUUUUCCCUUGGAAUGGAUUGAUGGAGCUGCUGUACUGGUGGUAACUGCUUUGGAUCCCGAGCUCAAGUGGUCUACAUAUUCUAAAAAAUAAAAUCAAAAGUGCAUGCACAUGUCUAAAAGAAUUCCCCACAUGUAUAUGUGGGAGUACACUAUGAAUCUAUCAAGUUUUCUGAAAAGAUACACAUUCGUUUGUGAGUAGGAAAAAAAAUGUGUGGUUUGACAUUACCUCCCUGUCAGUUUAUAAGGGACACGUGUAUUUCUAGAUUAUCAAUAUGAUGAAUGAAUAUGCAUUGUACGCUACAAAAAGUAAUACUCGCUACGUUCAAAA